rnacentral:rRNA from 1 species
GAUGAACGCUAGCGGCAGGCCUAACACAUGCAAGUCGAGGGGUAUAAAAGAGCUUGCUUUUUUAGAGACCGGCAAACGGGUGCGGAACACGUACGCAAUCUGCCCUUAUCACGGGGAUAGCCCAGAGAAAUUUGGAUUAAUACCCGAUAGUAUUAUAAUAAGGCAUCUUGUUGUAAUUAAAGCUAUGGCGGAUAAGGAUGAGCGUGCGCAAGAUUAGCUAGUUGGUGAGGUAACGCUCACCAAGGCGACGAUCUUUAGCUGAUGUGAGAGCAUGAUCAGCCACACGGGCACUGAGACACGGG